rnacentral:rRNA from 1 species
GAUGAACGCUGGCGGCGUGCUUAACACAUGCAAGUCGAACGAUGAAGCCCAGCUUGCUGGGUGGAUUAGUGGCGAACGGGUGAGUAAUACAUCGGAACGUGUCCUGUAGUGGGGGAUAGCCCGGCGAAAGCCGGAUUAAUACCGCAUACGACCUAAGGGAGAAAGCGGGGGAUCUUCGGACCUCGCGCUAUAGGGGCGGCCGAUGGCAGAUUAGCUAGUUGGUGGGGUAAAGGCCUACCAAGGCGACGAUCUGUAGCUGGUCUGAGAGGACGACCAGCCAGACUGGGACUGAGACACGGCCCAGACUCCUACGGGAGGCAGAAGUGGGGAAUUUUGGACAAUGGGGGCAACCCUGAUCCAGCAAUGCCGCGCGUGUGAAGAAGGCCUUCGGGUUGUAAAGCACUUUUGUCCGGAAAGAAAACUUCGCCGCUAAUAUCGGUGGAGGAUGACGGUACCGGAAGAAUAAGCACCGGCUAACUACGUGCCAGCAGCCGCGGUAACAC